AAAGUCGUAACAAGGUUUCCGUAGGUGAACCUGCGGAAGGAUCAUUAUUGAAUGCCGCCAGCUUUCGGGCUGCGCUUUCUCCCCGGCCUUGGAGGCCGCUGAAAUAUGCGGUUCUCCUUGGUCACUCACACCAGUGCGGUUUGUUCUCCUUGGGUUUUCCAAGCGCUCGGCUAGAAAGUCGUAAGCCAGAGGGCCCCUGGGGGGACAUUCCACACCCCACAACACACUGUUCAUGUUGACUGUACCUUGUUUUUAAACAAAUCACAAAUACAAAACAACUUUUAACAACGGAUCUCUUGGCUCUC
rnacentral:misc_RNA from 1 species